GCUUUGACCUAAAGCUUGGAGUUGAGUUUGGAACAAAAAUGUGUCGUGAGGGGGGUUGCAUGGACUCCUUAUCAUACGCCAAAUCUAAGAUGAAGCUGUGGAAUUGAGUCCUCCUCCAACAAGGGAAAGAAAAGGAUAACUUACACCUGUAAUCCCAGCGCUUUGGGAGGCCGAGGCGGGCGGAUCACGAGAUGCCCGUGAGUUGACAAGUUGUUUAAACGCAGAUGUUACAAUAAGUCAGUUUAAGAUUUGGUGAAGAAAGUAGAUAAGAGUAUACACAGAAUUGAAGACCUUAGCAUCACUACUAUUCGUCUGCUUAGGAGGAGCGAACAGAAGAGAAUCAGUGAGUUUAAUUCUCAUGCAUACAAACUGGUUGAUAAUUUUUUCAUCAGAUCACAUCCAGUAUGAUUAAUGUUUCUCUUUUUUCAUUUGGCCAACUAUGAGGUGGGCGAGUAAUAACAGUAUCACAAAAUAGAAGAAUAUAUGAAUAUUAAUGAACAGUUCAUACUUUGUCUCCCCCCAACCCCUCACAUGAUAAAGCAAAUAAUCUCAUGGUUCAAUCUCUAGAGUACUAAGUUUAUGGCUGGAGAAAGCAGUAGUGCAUGGCAUAUGGGCAAAAAGCAUCUCUGGGUAGCUAAGGCAGGGGUGCCUUGUUACAAUUAUUCAGACUGAAGUCCAGCAUAUUGUAUGUAAUAUGCUAUUUAAAUAAGAACAAUUUUGGUACAGUUAUUAUCAUACACAAUACACAAUACUACAUGUAAUUAUCCUUCAAGUUUCCUGUGAAUAUUCUAUAUUGGAAAUGUUAAAUUCUAUAAUUGGAAGGAACGUCUGUAAUUUAGUUGAAAUAAAAAGAAAGUGUGUUAACUUUAUUUUAAAUUACCUCUACAUUGUCAAACAACUAGAGAGGGAGCAUGUAUGAUUAAACAAAAUUGUAAUUUAAAUCAUGUAAAGUACUAAUCAAUUAAAAUAAUAAACAU
ensembl:lncRNA novel transcript